UGCCCGCGUAUUGGUGCAGACCGGACUCCCCCCACGGGCCCAGCUGGAGUCAGGUGGCCGGGUCGGCUGGUGCUUCUGGUUGACAGCCACCAGCCUGCCUCCCGGACACAGACAGACAGACAGGCAGGCGGCACCUGCAAGCCGGACCAUUCAGAGAGGCAGAGAGCAAAGCAACCCAAUCGCCCACUACUUGGAAUGGAGAGGAGAGCACAUGUGUCCGCCAGGCCUGAGCAUGAACUGUAGUCUCCGGAUGGAAGGUGAUGCUUCUAGACGUUCCCAGGUCACUCUCAGCUGACCUCACCUGCGGACAGGUGCAGUGAAGGGCACCCCACCCUGCCCAGGGCCCUCCUCUCUGACGCCCCCAGUCAUUGAUUUACCAGCCAUGUUUGCCUUGGGAGGAGGUCAACGCACAGAGCCCCUGUCUGGGAAGCCGUGGCACGGAGGACGGACGCUUCCCAGAGCCCCGUGCUGGGCAUUCUGAGUGGAAAGCAGACCCUGUGGCCUGCCCUGCCGGGAUCAAUUUGACAGGACCCCAUGGAGUGUGAGAAACCAAUACGGCCCAUUCAACUUGAAAGCUCGUCUUGUUCAACUGUGUCCAUUUUUUCCCCAAGAAAUUUCACACCUUGACACAAAUGAGAAGAUCUUAAGAAAGAAUAAUUUAAUGUUAGGUAGCAUUUCCAACCGCGAUCAGAUGAGGAAACCGAGGCACGGAGAAUUUAAGUCACUUGCCCAGGGUCACACGGCUUGUCAGUGGUGGAGGCCCCCAGAGUCGGUGAGUCUAAACCCUCUGGUCAACCCAGAAGACUUCAGACAACAUCUGCCAGGUGAGUGGAUGUCCCUUGAAGGAGCGCCAGCGACAUCCCAAGUGGGAGGGGGGAUCCAUGCCAGGACCUCACCCACCCCUCCCACUGGGGGUCAGGGGUGAGUGUGAGAAGCACAGUGCUGAGGAGGGUUCUGGAACAGCUCUGAGCCCCCUGCGCCCCGGAUGUGGGCUGCUCCCAGGGUGUCAGACUCCCUCUGUCCCCACGCCCCCUCACCCCCAUCUCUGCCCACCUGGGUGCCCUGAGCUCUCUGAGCUCUCUGAGCCCUGAGCAUCUCUGCCCACAGGUGCCCUCUGCCCACCUCUCUGCCCACCUGGGCUCUGAGCUCCUGGGCGAGGGGGGUCUGGUGUUCACCAGCGGGUCCUGAGCUAGGCCCCUCCAAACCCUCCGACUCCCGCUCCAGCUGACCCAGCCCAGUGCUCCCUGGAGCUGCCCCAGCCCCCAGGCCCCUGCAGGUCAUCCGGACCGGGGGCGCAGCCCACCUUCUUUCAGCCACAGCGCCUGGGGCUGCCAGUCUGGGGGCGGGGGUGUCGGCUUCUCUGUGCUCAAGCACUUUCUGGAGUGUUUUAUGUGAUAUUAGCACUUCAGUGCAUCGGUCAACACUCCUAGGAAGCAGAAAGGAAGUGGGCGGAUGGAGAAACACAUUUCGUAAAAAGGGAAGGGAGUGGUUGAGGGAAGCAUCCUCAGAAAGGAGGACGUGAGACCCGCCGGGAAGAAGGUGGAGGUGGGCACGGCUAGACGUGGGCAAGACAGGAAGCUCCGCCUGCACCCCAAGCAAGCAGGGGUCCCGGGGAGAAGAGAAACUGCCCCCUAGGCCCCGGCCAGCGCCUGCAGGCCCUCAGCGACCCUUCCGGCUAGAGACCUCGCAGUCAGCCCGCUUUAUGAUUCAGUGGUGAGUUUUUAUUUUCAGGUUAAAAAAAAAGAAGAAGAACUGUCUGGUUCUUUCAACAACUCAUUUUUCUCAGCGUUUCUCUCGGGCCCUCGAAGGCUGUAAACAGAGUUUGUGGCUGCCCUGGGUUUCCUUCAAGGUCUUAGGAGCUUCUGUUUCCUGCUGGUGCGAGGUGGAAUGGAAAGCAAGCUCUCAGCCAAGCUGUCUCCAUCUCCAGGGGCAUCAGAUGAGGCAAUUCCACUGUAACCAGAGGCACUUUUAGAUAAAGGACUCUACCCGCCUGGUCUAAGAAAACCCGCUAUAGAAAUACCCACCUGCCUCUAAUAGACUGAAAGAAGUAUUCUCCACAUCUCCUGAUCAGCAUCCUCCAUAGUCAGGAUCCAGGCAAGAGAGAUCUGAUUCCGGAAACUUCCCUGGAUUAAAGCCACAGGUCUCCUCCACCUCUCUUAAAAUUAUAUCCAUUGAAUAUGUUGCACUUCAUGAUUUAUACAACAGGGGUUUUUUUUGUUCGUUUUUUAAAGUUUUUUUUUUUUUUUUCUGAUGUGGACCAUUUAAAAAGUCUUUAUUGAACUUGUUACAAUCUUGUUGACAGCCUAGACAGAAUAUUAAAAAGCAGACAUCACUUGGCCGACAAAUGUCUGUCUAGUCAAAGCUAUGGUUUUUGCAGUAGUCGUGUUCAGAUGUGAGAGCUGGACCAUAAAAAAGGCUGAGCGCCGAAGGAUUGAUGCUAAUUGUAGUGCUGGAGAACUCUUGAGAGUCCCUUGGACUGCAGGGAGAUCAAACCAGUCAAUCUGAAGGGAAAUCAACCCUGAAUACUCAUUGGAAGGACUGAUGGUGAAGCUGAAGCUUCAGUACUUUGACCACCUGAUGUAAAGAGCCGACUCACUGGAAAAGACCCUGAUGCUGGGAAAGAUUGAGGAUAGGAGAAGAGGGCGACAGAGGAUGAGAUGGUUAGAUACUCAAUGGACAUGAGUUUGAGCGAACUCUGGAAGUUAGGGAAGGACAGAGGAGCCUGGGAUGCUGUAGUCCAUGGUGUUACCAAGAGUCAGACAUGACUUAGCGACUGAACGACAACAAUCUUGUUUCUGUUUUAUGUUCUGGUUUUAUGAUGCCUCUGGCCGUGAGGCAUCUUAGCUCCCUGACCAGGGAUUGAACCUGCCCCACCUGCAUUGGAAGGCAAAGUCCUAACCUUUGGACCUCCAAGGGAGUCCCUAAAAAGCAGUUUUGCAAACGUAUUUUCAUCUGGCUUUUGCAUGUCUUCUGGGGUGAAAGCUCACUCAGGAAAGCCUCCUGACUUGACCCAGGCCCCAUCUGUGAGCCAGGGAGGAGGGUCAGAGUAUGGGGCCAGUUUGGAGCCCUUUCGCUAGUGGGAAGGUCACUGUCAUCUAAGGGCUCACACGUCCCCAGGCCUUGCCUCUCUCUGACUUAUGAUGCCGGUGAACCUAGGGAGCGAUAAGACUUGGUGAUGGGACCCAGCCAACACUCGUCCUUGGCCCCUUCCUCCUCCUCCCACUCGGAUGUAACAGGCAGCGCGCAGGGCCGGCCACCCUCUCCUCUCUCAUGAGGCAGCCAGGCGCUCAGUCCAGGCCAGCUGGGUCUUAGGCUCGGGGGAUCGACAUGGUCUGUCUUGCUCCCUGCCUGUCUCUGGCUGCAUCUUCUGGGGCUGGUGGAUUGAACAGUUGGUCUUUUGUCCCAAAUCCCUGCAAAGCAGCCCACCACUUGGGUCAUUAGGCCCAGAGGGGACGGCCAGGUCCUGCCGUGGCACCUGUGAGGCGUGGACCCUGGAGUCGGGGAGAGUUUGACCCCAGCCUCAGAAGCAGUUUCUUCCCUGGGGUCUGUGUAGGCAGCUUCUGGCCUCAUAUGGGAAGGAGGACCCCAAAAUGUGGAUGCCCCACCUUGGCCUGGCCUGAUGUUCCACCAUGAGUCAACAUAAGGCUGGCUACUUAUGGCCAGCCCCUUAGAAAGGAUUAAAUAAUAAUAAUAAUACCAUUGGUGGCUACAAAUUAUUACUAAAUGAGCUGCUAUGUAAAUGAACCCUGGGAAAUAUCUUCAAUUUCAACUUAAGAAAAACCAAACAUUUCUGCUUUCUGAUUCUAUUAGAAUCCCAGUAAAGCAUGCUGUGUGCCUUCCAAUGCAAAGCUGUGCUAGACCCUAGGUUGAGAGGAACAGUUCCUAGAAGGUUCUAGAAGGACCCACUUGGUCCACACCCAGAAGUUCUCCUGUGCAGCCACUCGAGGUACCCAGGCUUGGCACCCGGAGGUCCAUCAUCAUCUGUGUCUGCUCCUUUUAAAGGAGCCUCUUGUCUUCCUUAGCAGGUAGGAAGGAGGUUUCCGUGAUGGUUAAUUAUAUGUAUCAACUUCACUGGAUCACAGGGGAUAUAUAUAUAUAUAGAUUCUGUUUCUCUGGAGAACCUUAAUUAAUACAGUUUCCUUUUUGUGCCUAAAAACAUCUCUUUUUUUAAGAGGUUAUUUUUCUCUCCUUCCCCCUCAGCUCGUCAUCCCUAUUCUGUAAAUACUACAGGAAGAGAAGCAAUUAAUUCACCUGCAAGAAACAGGAGAUCAGACU